ensembl:lncRNA
ACUUAAGGUCCUGUGUGGACCAUGGCCAGCAUCUCAGGACCAUCUGAGCUUCCUUGUUCACAGCUGAGCAACCGGGAGAGGACUGUCCAAGAUGGGGGCUGAACUUUUGUGAUCAGCUUGUCUCCUGACCUGCCAAGGGUUUCUCCCUCAGCUUAGCCAUCCCUCAUCCCAUGGGUGGCUGAGAGAGAAAGGUGGGCUGAGGAAGAGGCCAUGAUUGAGUCUCUGUUAACUAAAUGGUUUAUGGAUUCAAGGAGCUUGAGAGUUUCCAAGAGGUAUUCAGAUGGUGCUCCUGACUCCCAGGAGGAGGCAGUGUACGGGUGGCCACACGCCAUGAACUACACUCACCUAUAGGGCUCCUGCCAGAGUCAUCUACUCAACUUCUUGUCCAGGUGAAUCUUCAGGGUGUUUUCCAGUUGCCUCUGAUCUAAUUUCUCCCUUGAAUCCCCAGGUGACAUACAAAGUCACUUCCUGUCUCCUCAGAGUCAGACCCCGUACUCCUCACAGGGUGGCUUUCUAAAAACCUAGGUUGUUUGAGAGCUCUUUCUCAGGCAACAUGCCAGGGUUCUUGUGGGUCACUUUGCCAGCACUUUCACAUGGAAAUUCCCUGGUUCCCUCAGUGUCCUGUGGCCAAGAUUCUCCCUUGCUGCUUUGGCCCCCCACAGAGGGCUCUGAAGGUUCAUAAUUCCCUGCCAGUUUGCCCCAAGGCUGUCUCUGUACCAGGCGGGCCCAGUGUUGGAUGAAACUCUUUGAAAGGUGGUGCUCAAGCUACCAGCAGAUCUCAAUGCUAGUAGGAGAUUCUUCAGCCAGUAUGGAGCCUGGUACUUGGGGACAAAGAGGCCACGUUACACUGAGGAAUAUUGGGAGUGAGAGGAUAAAAGUUUUCCUGAGAUCUUUGGACCAAGAGUUCCAGCUGCUUAUGCUGUAAGUCCUGCUCUGGGAGUUAGGCCUGAGAGACUGUACUUCAUCCCGGGGUUCAGAGAAGGACACUAGGCAGGCCCUGUCUGGGGUGACAGAGUAGGAGAGAGGUUGAAUGUAGGCCUGAGUUAGGGGUGGGAUUCAAGAUCAGAGUGGACUGGGGCUACAGUGGGGAUUCUUUAGCCUGAAUAUGGACUGGGAAUGUACUGAAUAAGACAAAAGGAGACCCUAGUGGGGACCAGCCACCCAAGGCCAGGACAGUAGCCCCAGGGACUCACUGUGCUGAGAGGGGAGACCCUGAAAGAGCUGGCUCCAUUUCUGCUGCAAACAGUCCCUCUGAACUUCGGGACUUGGGAACUGCCCUGGCCUGCCGCCCCUGUGGUUUGUCUAUGAUGCUCUACAGGGCUUGGGAGUCUGUGGGUGUCCUGUGUGUCCACAAGAGACUCUGAAGUAGUCCUGGAAGAUUUCCUUGGUAGUCUGCCUCAGUUGCUUGGACCCCGAAGGUCUGCCUCCGGAUAUCCAUUACACUGUGUCUCACACUGCCACCUGCUGGGCAAGACCCACCGGCCAGCUCCACCGUUCUUCCACUCCUAGGACGGACCUAGCAGGGAACCAGCGAAGUGCGUGGAAGAAACCCUUGGACUUCCCUGGUGGUACAGUGGAUUAGAGUCUGAUGCCAGUGCAGGGGACAUGGGUUCAAUCCCUGGUCCAGGAAGAUUCCACAUGCCUCAGAGCCUGCGUGUCACAACUACUGAAACCCAUACACCUGUGCUCCACAUCAAGCGAAGCCACUGCAAUGAGAAGCCAUUCCACUGCAAUGAAGAGUAGCCCCGGCUUGCUGCAACUAGAGAAAGCCUGCUCUCAGUAACAAAGACCCUGCGUAACCAAAAAUAAAUAAGACAGCAGGGACAGCAAGCCUGCUCUCAGCCUUUCUACUGGCUCUUGGAGAACAGCAUCCUGGAUUCAGAUGACCAAAAAAAGAGGAGUUCAAGAAUGUGAGCAUGAAAGGGGACCUGCCACCUAGGUUUGCAGAUAGUGCAACAUAGGCUGGUGCAAGUUCGGUCAAGAUCUCCAAGUAUUUCAGUGACAAAGUUGGGACUCAGGCCUCUUGCAAAGGAAAAACAAAAACUAGAAAAGAUACUCACUGAGGUGUUUUCUGUGCUUUCUCUGGGUGAAUUAAUGUUACCUUGACUCUUCUUU